AGGAAAUAGAUACCCUGGUAGUCCACGCCGUAAACGAUGGAUGCUAGCUGUUAUGAGUAUCGACCCUCGUAGUAGCGUAGCUAACGCGUUAAGCAUCCCGCCUGUGGAGUACGGUCGCAAGACUAAAACAUAAAGGAAUUGACGGGGACCCGGCACAAGCGGUGGAGCGUGUUGUUUAAUUCGUAUGGUUAAGCGAAGAACCUUACCCACGGCUUGACAUCCUGCCAAGUUCGCCGAAACGGCGAGUGUGCCUUCGGGUCCGGCAGUGACAGGUGAUGCAUGGCCGUCGUCAGCUCGUGUCGUGAGAUGUUUGGUUAAGUCCAUCAACGAGCGCAACCCUUAUAGUUAGUUGUAUUUCUCUAGCUAGACUGCCCUGGUAA
rnacentral:rRNA from 1 species